UGGAAGAGUGGAAUGACCCCAAUGAGCGCAGGGAAUUGUAGUCCGUUUAGCUGCUGGCUUUUAGAGGGGCGGGGAAGAGCCGGGUCGCUCUCGUCAGCUGAGGAGAAUGAUUCAUAGAGGAGGGUCAGGAGAGAACAGUUCUGGCUGCGAAAGCCCACUUAAAAGGCUGGACUCUAACGCGAGGGAGGGAGAGGCAGGAGAGUAAGCGAGGCCUCGGGCCUGACCUCGCCACAGGCCGCUCGUCAGGCCUCCAUCGAGUCCUGGGCCUUGUCGGGGGCGGCCGCGAGGCGCCGGUUGCUGGGGGACCGGUGACGUCGCGGGGUGAAAGUUGAGGGGCGGUGACGUCGGCCCUGCCCGGGCGGAGGCUGGCGGGUUGGAGGCAGGAGGGAGGGAGGGAAGGAGGGAAGGAAGGAAGCUGGGAACGAGCGAGCGAGCGGGGGCGCGAGGCGUUUACCUGGAGGCAGCGGCUUGGGCGCGCUGAGCGGCCGCGGCUCCCCCGCACCUGCGGCCAUGGAUGAGGAGCGCGCCCUCUACAUCGUCCGGGCCGGCGAGGCGGGGGCUAUCGAGCGGGUCCUGAGGGAUUACAGCGAUAAGCAUAGGGCUACUUUCAAAUUUGAAUCAACAGAUGAAGAUAAAAGAAAGAAACUCUGUGAAGGUAUAUUUAAAGUCCUUGUAAAGGACAUCCCAACAACAUGUCAAGUGUCUUGCCUGGAAGUUCUCCGCAUUCUCUCCAGAGACAAAAAGGUUUUAGUUCCUGUAACAACCAAGGAAAAUAUGCAGAUACUGCUGCGACUAGCCAAGCUAAAUGAGUCGGAUGAUUCUUUGGAGAAGGUGUCCGAGUUCCCAGUUAUUGUGGAGUCAUUAAAAUGUCUGUGUAACAUAGUGUUCAACAGUCAGAUGGCACAGCAGCUCAGCCUGGAACUUAACCUUGCUGCAAAGCUCUGUAACCUCCUGAGAAAGUGCAAGGACCGAAAGUUUAUCAGUGACAUUAAAUGCUUUGACUUGCGCUUGCUCUUCCUCCUGUCACUUUUGCACACCGACAUCAGGUCACAAUUGCGCUAUGAGCUUCAGGGACUAGCGCUGCUAACCCAGAUCUUGGAAAGUGCCUUUAGCAUCAAGUGGACCGAUGAGUAUGAAUCGGCCAUAGACCGUAAUGGACCUCCUCUCUCACCUCAGGAGACAGACUGUGCCAUCGAGGCCCUCAAAGCUCUCUUCAAUGUGACAGUAGACAGUUGGAAGGCACAUAAAGAGAGUGAUUCUCAUCAGUUCCGUGUCAUGGCAGCUGUCCUUCGCCAUUGUUUACUAAUCGUAGGUCCAACUGAAGACAAAACAGAAGAGCUGCACAGCAAUGCAGUCAACCUUUUAAGCAAUGUUCCGGUCUCUUGUUUGGAUGUUCUCAUUUGUCCAUUAACCCAUGAAGAAACAGCCCAAGAGGCAACGACUCUAGAUGAACUGCCCAAUGAUAAAACAGCUGAGAAAGAAACUGUUUUGAAAAACAAUACCAUGGUAUACAAUGGUAUGAAUAUGGAAGCCAUUCAUGUUUUACUCAAUUUUAUGGAGAAGAGAAUAGACAAGGGAAGCAGCUAUAGAGAAGGUCUAACUCCGGUUCUCAGCUUAUUAACAGAAUGUUCCCGAGCCCAUCGAAACAUCAGAAAAUUUCUCAAAGAUCAGGUUUUACCACCAUUGAGGGAUGUGACAAAUCGUCCUGAAGUUGGCUCAACUGUGAGAAAUAAGCUGGUGCGCCUCAUGACACAUGUUGACCUUGGAGUCAAGCAGAUUGCUGCUGAAUUCCUUUUUGUCCUUUGCAAAGAGAGAGUGGAUAGCCUGCUGAAAUACACUGGCUAUGGGAAUGCUGCAGGACUGUUGGCGGCCAGGGGCCUCUUGGCUGGAGGAAGAGGAGAUAAUUGGUACUCAGAGGACGAGGACACAGACACUGAAGAAUACAAAAAUGCAAAACCAAACAUUAAUCUUAUCACUGGUCAUUUAGAGGAACCAAUGCCAAACCCCAUAGAUGAAAUGACAGAAGAACAAAAAGAAUAUGAAGCCAUGAAACUUGUCAACAUGCUUGAUAAACUCUCCAGGUAUUGUAUUCCCAUCCAUUUUCUGCUUGGUUUCUAAAAAUGUUCUAUUUCUUUGUCUCUCUUACUGAGAGUUACCAUGGAACAGCAACUCUGGAAAUCCAUGUGAAUUGGAACAGGGUGGCCCGGGCAGCAGUAGUUCAGACCUCUCUCGGCUACCAUGGUUUUUCUACGUGUGCCGCUUCUGGAUGUGCAUUCUAAACAUUUAAACUCUCAAAGCUAGGGUAGGAACUACUAGAUCACUGUGGUAUUUAACCAACUAACCUCCCUGUCUUCAAAAAGAUGCUGUGAGUUAGGUUCAAUGAUUUUGCUGCUUCUUGUAUUUUUGUUUUAGUCUGUUUUGGUUCUUGUUCCAAAUCAUUAUGCUUUUUUUUUUUUUUUUUUUCCAUUUUUGAUGUGCAAGCUGGCAAUUUCUGUCUUUUUGGGUUGCUCCUGAAACCAAGAAUUCUAAACUGCCAUGCACCCAACAGGAAAAAGUGAAAAGGAAUAGCUCAAAUUAAGGGUUUUCUGAAAGCAAGUGCUUGUAUUAGGGGUUCUAAAGACAAUCUCCCCUUCCCUUCUUGCUUCAUACCACCUUCCCUUCCAAAAAUAGCCAGUUUUGAAAAUAAUUAAGUCAAAUAUGUACUAAUCAGCAACGAGUCAUCUUGGAGGAGUUAUUAGAAAAUAUUAAUUCCUUUCACACUUGCCUGAAUUGCUCUAUUUUCUAGUCAUACAUUGAGUCACUGUCUCCUUUAAGCCAUCUUGAAUGAGUGCUUCUGUGUGUUGGUGGCAGCUACCACUUAAAGGUGUAUUUCUUCUGAUCGUUUUCGUUUUCACAGCAACUAUGUAAAGGCUAGUAUCCCUCAGUCAGGAGAAGUAGCAACUGGAAUGGGAAAGCCAGAAAGCCAGCCACUAUAGGAAAAGGUGUAACAGAGAAACAAGUAGAGGCUAAAAGCAUAGCAGGAGGCUGACGGACUUCAGACUUAGGGAGUGUGACAAGUAUGGGUAGACACUGCAGAGUCUGAGCUUUUUGCAAAUGAUGCUGGUGAUGUGGUAGAAGCUAUAUAAAAAUAGCUUCAUCAUCUGCAAAGCUAAUAGGACUAGAACUUAGUGACUUCCAGAUAGUCCUUUUAAGUUUUCAUCCUUUCCUAAAGAGGGUAGAAUCUACAGCUAACUAACUAUGCACACAAUCUUCAAGUGACCUUUGUUUGCAAAUGACAUUCUCCAUACCUUUAUAUAGAAUUGACAUGUUCCUUUACUGAAAGAAUUAUAAGCAAAGAGAAGACACUUAUAGGCAAACCUAUAGGAAACAGAAUAACAAGGUGUGAAUGAAAUCAGAAACAUAAGAUUUGUGCUUGGCUACUUCCAAAAGGAUCGAACGUAGCUAAUGAAACUGUGGUUUAAGUACAGAAGUUAGGAUGAGAACUAACAGAGUCCAUCUAGUAGAAGCUGGAGAGGAAAAUGUUAAUAAGGACCUAUGUGGAGCAUAUCCGUGUGUUAGAGCAAUAAACAAAUUUCAUAAAUUUUGCUGAAUAUGAAUUCUUAAAAUAUAACACAGAUGCUGUUCAACUGGCCUAUAUACCCUAGAUGAGUAAACUCCAAGCUAGGAAAGUGGGAGAUGGGGAAAGGACUGCUUAAAAUACUCCAGUAUAUUCCAGGUAUUUGACUUACUGAAAGAGAUAAGACCAUUCCAUAAGGCAUCCCUAUGCAAGGGACAGAAAACGGUGCUAGGUCCUUCUCCUUUUAAUCCCAGGGGAAUCCACAUUUCUAGAAGCUGCCAACAAAUAAAUAGCCUGAAGCUAUGUCAAGUCUGAAAUUGCCAAGCUUCUUCCACUUGAUUUAAACUAUGCCUCAAAGAAGAUGCAUACUCACCCAGAAUCACCCAGCAGAUACCCAACUCAAUCUGAAGGAGAGCAGAUGUGAAGGACCCGCACCAGGAUGGUGGUUAGCAACAGUGGCCCGUGCCAAAGCACUUACCAAAGUGAUGAUUAAGACCCUGUCAUUAAUUCCAUGUGUCAAUACUGCCCUGUAGUACACAGAGCAGACAAGAAAGAAGAGCCCUUGAAAACAAGGGAAUGAUUUUUGAGUCGUUAUCAAGCUAAGUGGCAAGCGGGAAGCUGAAACUCGUAUAGGUAAAUUCGAAGGGACUCUUGGGAGAUCUGCAAGUGGGAAACAAGAAUGCAUUUUACCAACUGCUUAAUUAUGUCCUGUUUUUCAACAAGUACACUUGAAUUGAAUGCUUUGUUUGUAUUGCACAAAAACAUGUGCUGUGGGCAAGAGUAUUCUCUUGCUUCCAGGUCAAGUAAGGUGUUUUAUACACAUAUACAUCUGGCCUAUUCUAUAAUGUGCGAUUGGGUGUUAGUGUCUGAGCCCCAAUUUUGCACUGUCAUUUCUGGGGGAAAGUCUUACAUAGGAACCAGAAGCCCUAAAAAGUAGAACCUUGUCUAAGGUUCUGAGAAGUUACAGAAACCCAGGUAUCCCAGAGGACCAUCCUUACAGGGAAAUGGUGGCUCAGGAAAAUGUUAAAAUAUAUCUGGGGGAAAAAAAAAAAAACAGACCAGAAAUUUUAAAA